UACGGAGGGUGCGAGCGUUGUCCGGAAUCACUGGGCGUAAAGGGCGCGUAGGCGGAUGUGUCAGUCAGGGGUGAAAUCCCGGAGCUCAACUUCGGAACUGCCUUUGAUACAGCACGUCUUGAGUCCGAUAGAGGUGGGUGGAAUUCCUAGUGUAGAGGUGAAAUUCGUAGAUAUUAGGAAGAACACCGGUGGCGAAGGCGGCCCACUGGAUCGGUACUGACGCUGAGGUGCGAAAGCGUGGGGAGCAAACAGG
rnacentral:rRNA from 1 species